rnacentral:lncRNA from 1 species
AUAAGCCUCACCCUCAGAAAUCAUAAUGAGUUAGGAACAAGGGUAGAAAUGAGGAAGGUGGAGCUGCAGGUACGAGUAUAAACAAAAGGGUGGCUGGCACCAGAGACAAAGGAAAGGAGAGCUGGACAUACAAGAGGUAUUUCAGCUUCAUUCCAAAAAGGAGGUGUUCCUGUAUAUCAUGAGGAAGGAAGGCAGGAAUGCAGCUGCUAGUAGCUGGGUACCCGAUAAAGACACAGAAAUGGGAGAGAGUGGUUAAGUGCAUGGGCACUGAAGGCACAUUUCCUGGGUUCCAAUCUUGGCUGUCUGACCUCAGUUGCGGUCAAGCUGAUCAAAGCCAGAAGAGGCCUGUUGCAUGUGAACCCGCAUCCCUCACAAUGACAUCCACAAAGCAGAAUGAAAUAUGGAAUAUCAAGUUUCCAAGGAUGUAUGAACUUGUAAAAAAUCUGAAAGAAUAG